rnacentral:misc_RNA from 1 species
CCGGAUUUGAAUUUUGUUUACUUUCUUCCUGAAGAGCUUUCACAUAAAGGAAGCAUAUGAAGAUUGAAGCACUACAAAACCAAACAAAACGCAGAAAAAUUCGAGAAACAGCUACACGCCGCGUUGUAUAAUAAGCGCCAUACAUCAUGAUAACAUCUAAUAUACUCUCAAAAAACUUCAUCACUACAAAUGUUGGACCAAGACUCAGAACUUCCCGUAGGGUCUUUUCUCCAUUGAAAGCAAAGAUGGUGAGUCCCUGAAACAUCAUAACAAGAAAUAUCCACAGACGAUGGAAACUAUGGUAAAGAUGAAGAAAUGUCCGGUGCUCAACAAAUGAAGUUUUCCGAUUUUUGAAUUCUGUGUCAGUGGAAAAGUGCAGAUACUUUGCCCUUGGUUUUGGUUUUUGAAAAAAGGAUGAAUUCCUGCGCCAUGGCCAACUAAGUUCGAAGCAGUGAAGCGACCAAAAAUACUCAUUAAAAUCAUCAUAAUUUCUCCAAGCAGAAUGAGGAGCUCGCCCGUUCUCAUUAUUUCCCGCUUCCGCUGCAACAACCUCAUAUAGAGGAGUAACAACUUUAUCAAGGAAAGAUACACCAUUCUCAGAAUUGCAACUAUUUGCAGGCUGCACAAUUUGCUGUCUCAAAAUCUCGUCCAUUUCCCUUACCAUGUGAUGAAAUAUAUAGCACAAGCAUUCUGGAAUGAAUCUAAUGUUUGAGGCUUCCCCCCAUAUCAGAAAGUACAGUGAAAGGAAGAGCAAUUUCUUUUCCUUGCUAACAGACUCCAAAUU